UUGCUCCUUUGGGUGGCGAUGUGGCGGACGGGUGAUGAAUACAUCGGAUUCUACUUUUUCGUGGGGGAUAACGUAGGGAAACUUACGCUGAAUACCGCAUACGACCUACGGGUGAAAGCAGGGGACCUUCGGGCCUUGCGCGAUUGAAUGAGCCGAUGUCGGAUUAGCUAGUUGGCGGGGUAAAGGCCCACCACGGCGACGAUCCGUAUCUGGUCUGAGAGGAUGAUCAGCCCCACUGGACACUGAGACUACGGCUCCAGACUCCUACGGGAGGCAGCAGUGGGGAAUAU
rnacentral:rRNA from 1 species